GAACCCGUAGCUUAGUGGUUACAGCAUUGGCGCGUAAAGCCAAAGAACGCGGGUUCGAUUCCCGGCGGGGGCG
rfam:Agrilus planipennis Contig43629, whole genome shotgun sequence.